rnacentral:SRP_RNA from 1 species
GGAAGGUCGGCGUGGACGGAGCCCUCGCCAACCCGGUCAGGCCCGGAAGGGAGCAGCCGUAACGAGUAAGAUCCGGGUCAUGUCCGGCCUUCCACC